CAGUUCCAGCGUGGCUUUUGAAUCAGCAGCAUUCAUUAGUGGGCCUCUGCAGCAGGAACAAGUCACAAUGAGACUG
rfam:Ramazzottius varieornatus DNA, contig: Scaffold001, strain: YOKOZTNA-1.